rnacentral:rRNA from 1 species
AGUGAACGCUGGCGGUAGGCCUAACACAUGCAAGUCGAACGGCAGCACAGUAAGAGCUUGCUCUUACGGGUGGCGAGUGGCGGACGGGUGAGGAAUACAUCGGCAUCUACUUUUUCGUGGGGGAUAACGUAGGGAAACUUACGCUAAUACCGCAUACGACCUACGGGUGAAAGCAGGGGAUAUUCGUACCUUGCGCGAUUGAAUGAGCCGAUGUCGGUUUAGCUAGUUGGCGGGGUAAAGGCCCACCAAGGAAUCGAUCCGUAGCUAGUCUGAGAGGAUGGUGAGCAACAUGGGAACGGGAACACGGUCCAGACCCCUAGGGGAGGAACAAGAGGGGAUUAUUGGACAAGGGGGGCAAGCCUGAUCCAGCCAUACCGCGUGGUGGAAGAAGGCCUUCGGGUUUUAAAGCCCUUUUGUUGGGAAAGAAAAGCAGCAGGGUAAUACCCCGCUGUUCUGACGGUACCCAAAGAAUAAGCAACGGCUAACUUCGUG